UUCCUAUAACUCUUCUAUAUUCUGCCGGGUCAGACAAUUUAGCACCUGUUGUGAGCGUCAAUAUGGAAUUGCUUGCCAUUGGUGUUGAUAUUGAUUUUGCAUUGCUCAUAUGUGUCUGCUUAAGAAGCUCUAAAAUGUAUUUGCGUUGUGACAACAGUAGCCCGUGCUUAUUUGGUAUAACUUCAAUACCUAGAAAGUAGUGCAGUGAGCCCAAAUCUUUGAGAGAAACCCUCGUUGCCAAAACAGUGAUAUAAUCUUGAAUAAGCCUUGUACAACUACCCGUGAUUAUGAUAUCAUCAACAUACACAAUAAGUAGCAAAGUACCUUUCUUUUAAUGACUAAUUUAUAAAUAAAGAAGCAUCUGAUAAGGAAUUGACAAAACCUGUAUCCAGUAGAUGUUGACGUAGAGCUUGAUACCAAGCCCUGGGCCCCUGUUUCAACCCAUAGAUUGCUUUCCGUAAAUGACAAACAUAAUGGGGUUAUCUACAUCUUGAAACCCUUGUGGCUGGGCCAUGACUACAUCUUCUGUCAAUGGCCCUUGUAAAAAAGCAUUGUUAACAUCGAGUUGACGUAGUUCCCAACCAUUAGUAACUGCUAUACUAAGAACUAGUUGUAUAGUUAUUGGUUUAACAACCGGACUAAAUGUUUCAUAAAAGUCGACAACGGGACGUUGAUGAAAGCCUUUUGCCAUUAAUCGGGCUUUGUAUCGUUGAACCGUACCAUCUGAAUUACGCUUGAUCCGAAACACCCACUUGCAGCCAACCAGAUUUUGAGAAUCAGUAGGAGGAACUAAUUUCCAAGUCCCAUUACUCACCAAAGCAUCAAAUUCUUCAGAACAGGCUUUCCUCCACUUAGGAUCUGUGAAUGCUUGUGAAAUUGUGCGAGGUUCAGUGUCAGUACUUGAUGUGAACUCACAAGAAAGACUAAGCAGACUAAGCUUUUGUAUGGGUUUAUGAAUAUUAUUUUUGCUUCGUGUGACCGUAUGAUGACUAUUUAUUACUGCUGGUUGACGAAUACUAACAUCAGAAUGUUGCUCUUGAGUGUGAGACACAGGAGUUGGAACAACAGCAUUAGGCACAUGAGCUGCAACACCAGCUAUAACAUCAAGAUUAGGCACAUGAGCUUGUACCUCAGCACAAAUAGCAGCUGAUAUGUCUGUGUUGUAAGGAAGUCUCUGAGCAGUGGAACCCUCUUGUCUAGGUGCAGCAGGUACCAUAGGCGUAGUAAUGAGUGGCAUGGGAAUUUCUGAAAAAGUAGCAGCAUGGGAUGAAUUUAUCCAUGCUGAAAUUGGAGGCGACGACAAAGACACUGACUUUAAGGAAGUAGCAAAUGGGAAAACAGAUUCAACAAACUGAACAUGACGAGAGGAUGACCUAGACGAGAAUGCCAAUCAAUGGCAGAAGCAACGGUGGAUGAAAAAGCUAGCAAAGGAGUUGAUGUAGGCCACUUAUAAACUCCAUCCUUAGGCGUGCCCCUGAGAAAGUGGCACUACCAGUGUGACUGAUACUCAAACCUAAACCAUCUCCAAUCAUCACAUCCUCCAUUCCCGUGUACAGGCAGUGUAAAGACAAAUUAUUGAGGUCAGCAGUAAUAUGCUGAUUAGCACCAGAAUCCAGCAGCCAUGGGGUUGAUGAAGAAGAAGAAACUGCAGAAAAAUUGGCUUGUGGAUGACUUGCAACUGGAACAACUCGAAAGGAAGGACACCGGUUAGCUGAAUGACCUUGAGUACCACAUAUUUGACAACGGUCAAGUGGCUGGAAAAUAUGUUGGUGUAGCAGAAGGAAGAGUUGCCUCAAAGUUAUGAGUUUUUCAUGUAACUCAUCAAAGGGUAUCGCAGAAUCACGAGCAUUGAUAGCCUGUAUGAUUUCUUUGUAAGCAUUUUCCAAACCUUCUAAAAUACGAUGAGUGAUGUCUUCCUCAGACAUAGGUGAGUAUAACAUUGCUAGUUCAUCAGUUUUCAUCCGAAUUGCCUGCAUGUAUUCUAUAACUGUUGAACUACCUUUUGUGAUGCUUUUAAGUUGAGCUUUGAUUUGUUUGAUUCUGCCCCUAGAAGGUUUGGCAUAGAUAGUCUCAAGAAUAUCCCAUGCUUGUUUGGAUGUUUUGGCUGUUGCAAUGAAAGGAAUAAAAGAAGGUCAGAGAGCACCAAUGAAAGCAUUGAUGAGAAGAUGAUCUUGCCUAAUCCAAUGACUAUAUUCUGAAUUGGGAGUAGAAGUUCCAGAAACAGUGGGAGAUGGACAAGGAUGAGAGCCAUCUAUAUGGCCAAGAAGAUCAUAACCUAUUAACAAGCUUUGAAACUGAGGUUUCCAAGCAAUGUAAUUUGAUCCUGUGAGCUUUAGAGCUUUAGAGGAGCUUGUGCAGCUACAUUAAAUGUUACUAAUUGUAUAGAUGUAUCACUCAUUGUGGAAGAGAUGAAAAAGAAGAAAGGAAAAGGAUCAAGAGACGUUUGUCUUGGAGCUCUGAUACCAUAAAAGACUAAAACAAUGUUACUACAACAGAUAUAUUUUAUUGAUGUAAACUAUAUGUAUUUAUACA